AUAAAGGUGUUAUGAGAACAUACCAGAACAGGGAAGUUACUUCUUUUCUUUCUCCCUUUAAUUUUAGUUUGUCGGUCAUGAGGGGUGCCGUAAGGAGUUUUUCAGAUUUUGAAAAGAGGAAGGUGUGUCUUCUAGUGCAAAAAUUAGUAAAGAACUCACGAGGUUCUUCAGCUGGAAAUCAAGACAAGGAUCGUAUGAACAGAACAAGCACAAGCACAUAUCCAGCACCAGGAGAUUCUAGUUAUCAAAACAGAUAUUAAAAACAAAGUAAACAUCUAAACAUUAGACAGAAGAACAAAAACAUGACAUCAGAAAGAAUAUUAGAGUUGGAGUUUGUUUCUUAACAUGUAGGAGGCCUUUAUUAAUGAAAGUUUGCAAAAUAGGUAAGCAGACACUCCUUCAGAAGAAGUUUUCUUUAAUUCUCACUUCAAAAGUUUUAUUCCUUUCUCUUUACCAGGUUAUGUAAUAAGUUGUAAAGAAAUUUCUUUUAUAUUCUUUCUUUUUUGGGCCUAUUAACUUUCAGAAGAUGAGCCUAUUGAGAAAAAUCCACAGAAAAGCGGUGUUGUAGUUUUGGAAAUUAGAUUGCAACUUUUCAACCUCUAUGGAGUCUGGACAAGGAAAGCUUCUCAAUGUACAAUUAUUAGGCACCAGAAUGGCGCAUGCACCUAAAUUUUCUGCCAACUGUCAUAGCACUUUGUAGUGACUUCAAUAAAAUGAGGAAGUCACUAACAGCCAUUUAUUUUAAGUGAGGUUCAAACUACUUUCAGGGCUCAGUUGUUUUCACAAGACAUCCUGACUGAAAACAAAUAUUAUGCACUUAAGCCUUAAGCUAGAUGGUCAAAGGCUCAAGGAAUAAUUAAGCUCUACAUAGGCAAAAGGAGACAGGGAAAAAAGGAAAUUUUAAGGGCUUUUAUGUGGCUGGUAAAUGAGGGGAGGAAUAUAAGGUUUUUGUAAUUGCCUCAAGUUUAAAGUCAUGGGAGAUACAAUGGCUGGGCCUCUGACACAAAUGGAAAUACAUGAAAUGGGUAAAUGAGUGAGCUAAAAUACGCCUAUCCAUAUCUAUAUAUCUAUAUCUACAUAUCUAUAUAAAGCUCGGAAUGUGAAAGGUGAUGUGACACCUCCUAUGCCCAGCAAUUAUAUUUAUCUAUUUUCUCCUAUUUUUGACAGUUUUUCAGUUUUAUUCUUUUUUCCUAUUUUUUUACAUUUAUGUGCUUUGAAAAAAAAAACUAAACAGUAGCUCCUUUUAUUUUUUUCUCAACUAACAGUCGCUUAUUUACUUCUCUUAAUAAAUUGUAACCGAAACAUUCUCUCGCUUAUCACGGUUGUCGUAUUUACUGGGAAAAAACGCCUCCAUCUCUUCUCCUUUUUUUUCUUCUGUCUUUGAUUCUCACUUCCCUCAAGUUUUCCUCCUUCUAAAGUGAUUAUCCAAUUGCUAAUAUUUUUCCCUUUACCUAUUGAUGACUAUUGCUGAAAUGUUGAGUUAAUCAACCCAUAUUAUUAUUUUUCAAUGUAGUAAUUCAAGCACUCUGUUUCCAAACUACUAUUAUCAUUAGGAACUGCAGGUAAAAUAUGCUUGCCUGUGAUUAUGUAGUUUAAUUUUUUAUUGUGGCUCCUGUAUAACUUUUAAUUUUGUCUUUCCUUUUCUCUUAGUAAGGAGAUCCAAAAGGCAUUCCUUUGACUCAACCUGUCUCCCAUUAAAGUUCUUUUGAUCAAACCAUGAAAUUUUGGCAAAUUAGGAGACAGACAUAAGAAGAACGAGAAUUAUGCAUAAGUGAUUGGAGGAGGAAGACUGGGGAUUUGACUGGUGAGGAGAGGAGAGUAAGGUAAACGGGAGGGAAGAGCUUUCUCGCCUUUUUGUUUUUAACGAAAUUUUGCUAAAGAGAAAAGACAUGCUGAAUAGGGGGAGAGAAAUAGAAACAGGUAAGAAGAAGAGAAUUAAGGAAAAGUACAACUGAUCACUCUGUUUGCCCAAAAAAUACCGGAUAAACUAGAAAUUACUACUAUAUUUCAGUUUUCUUCAAAAUUUCUGUGUUUGCCCUUGCUGGUUGUGGUUUCUAUUCUAUGAACAUGCUUUUUCCCACAGUUUCAAUGUGAUUUUUCAUAUUAAUUUUGAAUCUAAUGUUAUGUUCUUUGAUUGUGCGGUGGUGAAAUUAUAGGUAAAGAAGAGUAAUCAUUCUGGUUACUCCAUAGAACAGGAAAAUAUCUGCCUAAGGAAAAAGGUGAAGAAGUUUAAGAGACAUCAGAGUGAUAGGAAAAUAUCUGCCUAAGGUAUUGUUCUGUCUUUUUAGCAAUCAUAUUCUUACUUAAACUCCGUUUGAAUCUUUUUGUUCCGUGAUCUUAAAAUCUCAUGAAAUAAAGGUAUUAUUCUGUAAUUAUGAACAAUUCAAUUUUACUUAAAGUUUGAUAUGGAUCUUUUUGUUCAGUAAUAAUAAAAUUUGCAUUUCAUAUGUGUAAAAUUAGGAUAAAAAUUGGUUUACCUUAUUUGUUAUAUAUAACUAUUUGCUACAUUCUUUUGUGUAUGGAAAGGGAAAAAAGUAAACUAGAGAACAGGUCUUGCAACACAAUUGGCUUCUCCGUCAAUAAGCUUUCUGAUACUUUACCUGCUUAAAUCUCUUUUAUUAAAGCUUCCUGGAUGUUCACUUGAUCUGUAUCAUCGUUUGAGCUACUUGUGGGAAUUAGCUGAGACUAUCGACUGCGGUAGGUCCAGAAUUUAGACAUGGCGAGUUUUGAAUAUUGCAGUCUGCCAAACUCAAAGGUGAUCAACAGGUCUGAUGACUGUGCAACAUACAAUAACAGUAGAAGUGGAUGGAAAUAUAACAAAAAUGACAGUACAGCUCAAUAGUAUAUAACAUAAUCACUGAAAAAGAAUGGAAUCUUUUCUUUGGCCUAUUUCUAGGUAAAGUUUCAAUAUCUUGAGAUACUUUUGCUAGCUUCUACUAUCGAUACUUCGAUAGUGAGCCCACUUCCUUAAAAGGGUGACAAACUGCUGCCAUGACGACUGCUGUGGGGAUUGUCUAUUCAAGGCUAAAGAAUCUUACUGCUAUUCCGUAUAUUUUUAGCUCCUAAGCAGUUUUUUCACGGGUCACUAAAAUUGGUUUCUGUCCAUUAGAAACAAACUAACAGAAUAGCUGCAGGGUUUGGAUUUACAAAACUAUGAAGCUGGUUUAGAGCAAAAUAGUUCCUCUAGAUCUUUGAGACAAGCAAAAGUCUCUUAACAUGGUGAGCAAUACCAAGGUGAAAGUCGUCAUCAAAAGGUAAAUUGGGCAGCCAAGAGCAAGACCCUCAUCGGGUGAAAUGUUGAAGGAUCCAUAAUCCUUUUUGAUGUUGUCAAUUAUUAUGAGAAUGAUCUUGCUUAAUAUGGUUUGCCAUCAUACCUAUUUUUUAAAACAUUUUUAUUGAUUUGCCUCGUGCAAGAAGAUAGUACUUGAUAUAUCAUGACUAACCUAUGUUCACUCUUGAUUGGUGAUUGAGAGUAUCAGCUAUGGCAUUAUUAGUUGUCAUUUUAGUCACUGCUUUAUACAGUUCCUGAUUGAUGAUUGGGACUUGAGAAUAUAAAUUGUUUAAUUAAGAAAUAAAAAAGUCAAUAAAAAACAACAAACAUGAAAUAACAAUGGAAAAGAGAUAGGUAACAGAAACGUAAUUUAAUGGAUAGACACUGUGCCUUGCGUUUCCACUUAUUUCUUUUGAUUUGUAUUGUUUUAGUUUUAAAUUUUCUUACAUCUCUUUUCAUCUUCAUGCUAUUUUCGUUACAUCUUCGUGUUUAAAGUUACACAUACACAAGCACACAUUUUUCAUUAAGUGUUUUCAAAGUUAUAUUUUCUCUCUUUUUCCUUUAAUACCGUAUUUUGGAAAUUCAAUGAUAAUUGAUACCCCAAAUACAAAAGUAGAGAAAAAGAAUGAACAUGAAAGAUAAUGCAAAGAUGUUAUAGAAAUACAAAACUAAACCUUGUGUUGAUUUUUUAUUUGUUUAUGACUCUUAUUACUUUAUAAAGUAUGAGAAAAUAAUGAAGCAGGUGAGAAAUAGAAGAA